rnacentral:rRNA from 1 species
UGCGGAAGGAUCAUUACCGAGUGCGGGCCCUCGCGGCCCAACCUCCCACCCGUGUCUCUCUCUACCUGUUGCUUUGGCGGGCCCACCGGGGCCACCCGGUCGCCGGGGGACGUCCGUCUCCGGGCCCGCGCCCGCCGAAGCGCCCUGUGAACCCUGAUGAAGAUGGGCUGUCUGAGUCGCAUGAAAAUUGUCAAAACUUUCAACAAUGGAUCUCUUGGUUCCGGCAUCGAUGAAGAACGCAGCGAAAUGCGAUAAGUAAUGUGAAUUGCAGAAUUCCGUGAAUCAUCGAAUCUUUGAACGCACAUUGCGCCCCCUGGCAUUCCGGGGGGCAUGCCUGUCCGAGCGUCAUUUCUGCCCUCAAGCGCGGCUUGUGUGUUGGGCGUGGUCCCCCCGGGGACCUGCCCGAAAGGCAGCGGCGACGUCCGUCCGGUCCUCGAGCGUAUGGGGCUCUGUCACUCGCUCGGGACGGAUCGGCGGAGGUUGGUCACCACCACAGUUUUACCACGGUUGACCUCGGAUCAGGUAGGAGUUACCCGCUGAACUUAAGCAUAUCAAA